rnacentral:rRNA from 1 species
UACGGGGGGGGCAAGCGUUGUUCGGAAUUACUGGGCGUAAAGGGCUCGUAGGCGGCCAACUAAGUCAGACGUGAAAUCCCUCGGCUUAACCGGGGAACUGCGUCUGAUACUGGAUGGCUUGAGUGUGGGAGAGGAAUGCGGAAUUCCAGGUGUAGCGGUGAAAUGCGUAGAUAUCAGGAGGAACACCUGUGGUGUAGACGGCUUUCUGGGCCGUUACUGACGCUGAGGAGCGAAAGCGUGGGGAGCGAACAGG